AGCAAUUGUGCAAGUGCUUGUUAGAGAACAAGGGUACUGAGCGUGACCAUAGCAAGUAGUCACUUGGAUGUCUAUCCACUCGUCAGUGACUUACUUGAUGCUGUAGUUGUAUGACUGGUUCUUUGACCUGCGAUGCCUCGGCUAUUCACAGUGAGGUUGCUGUAGUUUGACGAGUUAUCCAUGACGAGUUAUUCACAGUGACGAGUUAUCCAUGCCCCUAGCCAAUUGGGUUCUUGUGGUGCAGAUUGGCUGCAGUAGGUUCAUUGUAGGAGUAGGGGUGCAUCUAG
rnacentral:lncRNA from 1 species